rnacentral:rRNA from 1 species
AUGAACGCUAGCGGCAGGCUUAAUACAUGCAAGUCGAACGGUAAGUUUGGUAGCAAUAUCAAACCAAGAGUGACGUACGGGUGCGUAACACGUAUGCAACCUACCUUGUACAGGAGUAUAGCUCGGGGAAACUCGAAUUAACCCUCCAUGAGAUCAUAGAAUGGCAUCAUUUAGUGAUUAAAACUCAGGUGGUACAAGAUGGGCAUGCGUCUGAUUAGAGUUGGCGGGGUAAUGGCCCACCAAGACGAUGAUCAGUAGGGGACCGUGAGA